GUGGGUGUUCUUGGUGGAUGAGAGUUGAGAAGUCUAGCUGGUCUUUGUCCGAGCAUCUGAGUUGGUUAUUGUUUCUUGGCUUGUUGUUGUUCGCUGACUUUUUCUUUCUUCCUGUUUUUUUAUGUCGUUUAUUUUCGGUUUCUUUUUGUGUUGGGGAGCCGGGAUUAUUUAGGGGCAAUGGUUCGGCCGGUAAGUAUUAUCUUAGGAGGUUAGCAUGUUGCACUGAAAUAGGUUUUCUUUUUUCUUUUUUAAUAAAAUCUCAUUUUAAUAAUUUUUAGUCUUUCAUUUUAAAAUAGGGUCGCGUUCAAUGGAGAACAUGAACACGUCCAUGUUCAUUGGUGGCCGUCGUUUUCCACCAAAUAAUUCCUGCAGAAUUAUCAAGAACUAAUUAG
rnacentral:lncRNA from 1 species